UCACUUUGUCCUUUGAUCAAUCAGAGCACCCUUUCGUUUUGACUUUAUGUACACUGAACUCUGGACAAUUUGUAAUUCCAUCGAAAGACUUUAGUUAACAAGUAUACAACCUACAUCGUCGGUCGACUUUGACUUUCACGGAUAAAACUUCAACUGCCGUUUAAAUUGACUUUAGCCACUUUUCAGGUGUUUGAUUGAUCUAUCUAUGGAUCUUUCGAAGGGUAUAAUGUUGGUGUACUGUUCUAAUGGUUGUGUAAUUGUCUUAAUUGUCUUUAUGUAUUCGUAGGUUCGGUUCUUACGUGAGAGUGUCCAGUGUCAUAACGACUAACGAGUCCUCAUUGUAAUUAACUCUUUGUGAAUUUUUGUAAUUAACCCGUUGGUUAAGACCUUUUUCUACCCAGUCAAGUAUUGUAGACUAAAUUGAUGUUUUUAUAAACGUAUCGUUUAAAGGUAAUUGUUUUCCACAUCGGGUUUGUUCCUUCUGGUACGUUUUAUUCAUACGAACUGUCUCUCUUUUGGAUUGGUUGCCCAUGAAGUUUUGUAUCAUUGUUACACUUUAUUAAAAAAAGAGUUUGAGAAAAGUCUUCGAUACCACAUAUAUAGCUAUUAUUUGCGUAGUUAUAGGUUCAAGGUCACGACGUCACAUGAGUCCAAUUCAGGUUAAUUUUGUUCACUUCGUCCCCAAUCUUCUGAACUGGAUUGACUUGUGACCGUUUAAAAUUGACUUGAUUUCUUCACAGAUCGAAUUGUUCAGUACUACGUUAUAUCGGUAUACGUAGGGAAAGAACGUUUCUACGUUCUCGACCCCCGUCAUAAUUCCUAAAGGUGUACGAUGUAUAUUUUCCACAUAUAACUGAUUUAAAUAGUAUGUCUUUAAUUAGUCAUAUGUUCCUAUCAGUCAAGAUGCUUUUUAUUCACAAUGUGAUCGACAACUAUCAAUUUAAUCAUUUAGUGGUACCGGGGGAACCACGUUUGGUUUACUUACGUAUAAGACCACUGGUGUUAAAUUCCAAUAAACGUCCAAUAAGACCCCAGGUCAUAGGUGUAGAUGGUACACACAGAAAUGUUUCUUUCGACAAACAUUCUCUAUUAAAAACUCAGGAGACUC
rnacentral:rRNA from 1 species